GCUUUAAGUUGUUCUCUAAAACCACUGCACUUCAAACAUUAGUUAUACUGGAUACCCAUGACUUUCCAGGUACUGGAAGCAAUGAAUGGUUAGGGAAUUGCUCUAAUAGUUAUUGCGCUGCAUCCCAAACAAAAAAGGAAAUUGGUGCCUAAUAGUCUUGCUUCACAUGUGAAUUCUGAAUGCAAUGGUAUUGUGUAAUCUGGAAGUAGGGAAAAUGUCCAGUGUCAUUGCUGUACUUAAUUCCAAACUGAAAAUACUUGAGUAGAAGGUCUUAAGUGUUGGAUUAAAUAACAUACACAGAUAUGAUAAAAACUGAAGUCUACCAGUUAGUUAAUUCACCCAGAAGACUUAAAUCCCACCUUAAAUAGUUUUUUUUUUUGCAUUUUAAAAAGGUACAGCAUCAUUAACAUAGUUAAAGCAUAUUAACAUUAACAGUUUUCAAAAUUUAAACAAUCAAGUUCUAAAAUAUACAAGAGAGUCAAGGGCACAA